GUAGAUAAAAGCGCGCUAACAGC
rnacentral:snRNA from 1 species